AACGAACGCUGGCGGCAUGCCUAACACAUGCAAGUCGAACGAGACCUUCGGGUCUAGUGGCGCACGGGUGCGUAACGCGUGGGAACCUGCCCUUAGGUUCGGCAUAACUCCCCGAAAGGGGUGCUAAUACCGGACAAUGUCUUCGAACCAAAGAUUUAUCGCCCUUGGUUGGGCCCGCGUUGGAUUAGCUAGUUGGUAGGGUAAAAGCCUACCAAGGCGCCGAUCCAUAGCUGGUCUGAGAGGAUGAUCAGCCACACUGGGACUGAGACCCGGCCCAGACUCCUACGGGAGGCAGCAGUGGGGAAUAUUGGACAAUGGGCGAAAGCCUGAUCCAGCAAUGCCGCGUGAGUGAUGAAGGCCUUAGGGUUGUAAAGCUCUUUUACCCGGGAUGAUAAUGACAGUACCGGGAGAAUAAGCUCCGGCUAACUCCGUG
rnacentral:rRNA from 1 species